rnacentral:rRNA from 1 species
AGGGAUCAUUACCUGAGUUUACAACUCCCAAACCCCUGUGAACAUACCAAUUGUUGCCUCGGCGGAUCAGCCCGCUCCCGGUAAAACGGGACGGCCCGCCAGAGGACCCCUAAACUCUGUUUCUAUAUGUAACUUCUGAGUAAAACCAUAAAUAAAUCAAAACUUUCAACAACGGAUCUCUUGGUUCUGGCAUCGAUGAAGAACGCAGCAAAAUGCGAUAAGUAAUGUGAAUUGCAGAAUUCAGUGAAUCAUCGAAUCUUUGAACGCACAUUGCGCCCGCCAGUAUUCUGGCGGGCAUGCCUGUUCGAGCGUCAUUUCAACCCUCAAGCCCCCGGGUUUGGUGUUGGGGAUCGGCGAGCCCUCGCGGCAAGCCGGCCCCGAAAUCUAGUGGCGGUCUCGCUGCAGCUUCCAUUGCGUAGUAGUAAAACCCUCGCAACUGGUACGCGGCGCGGCCAAGCCGUUAAACCCCCAACUUCUGAAUGUUGACCUCGGAUCAGGUAGGGAAUACCCGCUGAACUUAAGCAUAUCAUUAAAGCGGAGGAA